rnacentral:rRNA from 1 species
UACAGAGGGUGCGAGCGUUAAUCGGAAUUACUGGGCGUAAAGCGUGCGUAGACGGUAGCGUAAGUCGGGUGUGAAAGCCCCGGGCUCAACCUGGGAAUUGCAUUCGAGACUGCUCUGCUAGGGUGCGGAAGAGGGAAGCGGAAUUUCCGGUGUAGCGGUGAAAUGCGUAGAUAUCGGAAGGAACACCUGUGGCGAAAGCGGCUCACUGGACCAUUACUGACGCUGAUGCACGAAAGCUAGGGGAGCAAACAGG